rnacentral:ncRNA from 1 species
UAUCUGGUUGAUCCUGCCAGUAGUCAUAUGCUUGUCUCAAAGAUUAAGCCAUGCAUGUCUAAGUACAAACCUUAAUACGGUGAAACGCGAAUGGCUCAUUAAAUCAGCUAUGGUUCCUUAGAUCGUCUCAUCCUACUCGGAUAACUGUGGAAAAUCUAGAGCUAAUACGUGCUUACAAGCCCUGACCCUCACGGGAGGGGCGCAUUUAUUAGAUCAAAACCAAUCGGGCUUGCCCC